CGGGCGCCCGCGCCGAAUCCGUCCUGCCCUCGCGGGAGUUCGGAACCGGGGACCCACACGCAGCACCGGGGUGAAUCGGUCCUUGUCCCCCCACUCGGACCGUAGGGCAGCCUUCCGUUCCGCCCGAACCCGACAGCUAACCCGGUAGGCGGUCCACGGAAGGAGAU
rnacentral:sRNA from 2 species